UGGGGAAUAUUGCACAAUGGGCGCAAGCCUGAUGCAGCCAUGCCGCGUGUGUGAAGAAGGCCUUCGGGUUGUAAAGCACUUUUGUCCGGAAAGAAAUGGCUCUGGUUAAUACCUGGGGUCGAUGACGGUACCGGAAGAAUAAGGACCGGCUAACUACGUGCCAGCAGCCGCGGUAAUACGUAGGGUCCAAGCGUUAAUCGGAAUUACUGGGCGUAAAGCGUGCGCAGGCGGUUGUGCAAGACCGAUGUGAAAUCCCCGAGCUUAACUUGGGAAUUGCAUUGGUGACUGCACGGCUAGAGUGUGUCAGAGGGGGGUAGAAUUCCACGUGUAGCAGUGAAAUGCGUAGAGAUGUGGAGGAAUACCGAUGGCGAAGGCAGCCCCCUGGGAUAACACUGACGCUCAUGCACGAAAGCGUGGGGAGCAAACAGGAUUAGAUACCCUGGUAGUCCACGCCCUAAACGAUGUCAACUAGUUGUUGGGGAUUCAUUUCCUUAGUAACGUAGC
rnacentral:rRNA from 1 species